rnacentral:rRNA from 1 species
GUGCCACCGCGGUAAUACGUAGGGUGCGAGCGUUGUCCGGAAUUAUUGGGCGUAAAGAGCUCGUAGGCGGUCUGUCGCGUCGAUCGUGAAAACUUGGGGCUUAACCCUGAGCUUGCGGUCGAUACGGGCAUGACUGGAGUUCGGCAGGGGAGACUGGAAUUCCUGGUGUAGCGGUGGAAUGCGUAGAGAUCGGGAAGAACAUCAGUGGCGAAGGCGGCCUGCUGGGCUGUUGCUGACGCUGAGGAGCGAAAGCAUGGGGAGCGAACAGG